rnacentral:rRNA from 1 species
GAUGAACGCUGGCGGCGUGCCUAAUACAUGCAAGUCGAGCGAACAGACGAGGAGCUUGCUCCUCUGACGUUAGCGGCGGACGGGUGAGUAACACGUGGAUAACCUACCUAUAAGACUGGGAUAACUUCGGGAAACCGGAGCUAAUACCGGAUAAUAUAUUGAACCGCAUGGUUCAAUAGUGAAAGACGGUUUUGCUGUCACUUAUAGAUGGAUCCGCGCCGCAUUAGCUAGUUGGUAAGGUAACGGCUUACCAAGGCAACGAUGCGUAGCCGACCUGAGAGGGUGAUCGGCCACCCUGGACCUGAGACACGGUCCAGACUCCUACGGGAGGCAGCAGUAGGGAAUCUUCCGCAAUGGGCGAAAGCCUGACGGAGCAACGCCGCGUGAGUGAUGAAGGUCUUCGGAUCGUAAAACUCUGUUAUUAGGGAAGAACAAAUGUGUAAGUAACGAUGCACGUCUUGACGGUACCUAAGCAGAAAGCCACGGCUAACUACGU